CUUAUUUUUAACAACUCCACGUGCAAUUCUCUUAUAAACAAAUGGUUAUCCAAACGCAAAUUCCUUGACCAAAUCUUUUUGGUCGGUUUGUUUAUUACAAAAAAAGAAAUAGACAAGAUCAAGGGAAUUAGAUAGUACGUGGCAUAAUCCCCCGUUGGUCCUUUGAAUGUUCUUACUUAGCUCUGGAGUGACAAUUCAAAUCCUUUGCAUAAGUCACCUCACUAACAUCUCUGGUCACAUGAACGAACUCUUAUUUACAAAGCAGGGUCUCUCUCAUCAUUUUUUUUUAAAUGACAAUGCAUAUGUGGUCUCUGUUCGGUCGAUUACAUUUGACCAAGUGAGUGUUCAUCUUUGUAAUCAUGUUGGCAUUCAAUCCCGAGUCUCUUCCAUCAUCAUAA